rnacentral:rRNA from 1 species
CACGUAGGGUGCAAGCGUUGUCCGGAAUUAUUGGGCGUAAAGAGCUCGUAGGUGGUUUGUUACGUCUGCUGUGAAAACCUAGGGCUUAACCCUGGGCUUGCAGUGGAUACGGGCAGACUAGAGGUAGGUAGGGGAGAAUGGAAUUCCUGGUGUAGCGGUGAAAUGCGCAGAUAUCAGGAGGAACACCGGUGGCGAAGGCGGUUCUCUGGGCCUUACCUGACACUGAGGAGCGAAAGCGUGGGGAGCGAACAGG